AAGCCAAAAAUGCCCAAUACUAUAUUCAACUAAUGAAUUUCCUCAGGAUCCUCUAAAAGCUGCCCAGCUGGCUGUAUUUAUAGCUAACAAAGUAAUCAGUCAAAUUACAGCCAGCUGGACCACAUUAAUUAAAGCAGAGAGGGGUGGUUUUAUUGACCGAAACAAGACCACUGCAAAAUCAGACAGUUCACCCGCACGUUUGUUCUGGGGCAUGUGAUGGCUGAUCCAGAUCGCUGAUCCACUACUGAGGUGCUGUAUAAUCAAGCCGUAGGUCAUAUGAUUUCCUAUUUCCUGUAUGCUAGCAAAUCAUGUCAGCCUACCAGUUACCGCCAGAGCCAGAGCAAGGCCGCUCCUGCAUCUCUAAUCGCCUUAGAAACCAGGCACUGUUUCCACUUUCAAAAUGGCCCAUCACCAUGAAAGCCUGCAACGCUCUCCUGAUAGUUAAAACUUAAAUUAAACCAAACAAUGCACCCAUUUUGAUUUUACAGCGCUUAUUUGUGUCGCUGUGUUUCUGGAAAUGCUUUUAUUGUCAUGUGUAUGACUCACAGUGCUCCCUGGCUGUGAAGCUUUAAGAUGCUGAGCCAUCAUGCUAAGCAGAGCCCGCGAACCACUAGAAACGGCAGCAUCAUCUGAUAACUAGCUACUAGCCCUCCUUCCUGGUGAAGAAACAAAGCAAUUCAGACCACUUGCCAGGAACUAUGGCAGUGUCUUUGUGUUGAUGAAAAAACAUCCUUCACUCUUCAUCCUUAAAAUUUGUAAACAGAUUUGUGUAGUGAAACUGGACACUGUACUUAACAGGGACAUUUUCUGGAAAUCUGCAUCCACUAUAACCACAGAAUAGUAUCCCCAUCCAGACAAGCUUACAUGAAAAAACUCCUCGCUUCCCAGAAGGAAUUAGUCAUGGGAAGUUCAUCUGCUUUCAAAAGGAAAUGAUGGGGUAUUUAUCAACAUUGUUUAUUUAAAUAUUCAACAACUGGAGUUUUAAUCUUAAAAGUGCUCUUCAGGAAGGAAGAGAUCAAGCAUUUUUAAAAUAGGAAUUAUGAGUUACAUGAAAUGUUGUUACUACUGUGUAGAAUACUGUGUGUAGGUGAGGUCCUGUAGUGUUGGAAAAUAUGUUAAUGAUUACUGUGAUAUGGAACAGUAAUGUCAUGAAUGCUGUAAGGAGUAUUAUGGUAGCAUUAAGAAUACUGUGUUGAGUACUGUGAUGUGGAGUGGCACUUUUCAUACCAUGUACUGUAAUGAGUAAUUGAAGAAGUACUGAGAUGAGUAAUGUGAUAUGAUUAUGUGCUAUGGUGGAUUAACUACAGCAUAAUAUACAAAUCAUAUUAGUACUUCCUGUUAACCGUUGCAGUUUUGGUUAGUGAUUACAUAUGUUAAUCUAUGAUCAAAUCUACUGAUUUGUAUUGAUAUCAUGGUGUUUUCUGCCACUGUUUUGUGUAUUUUAACUGUGACCUAUCUGAGAGAUAAACAACUGUUGAUGAUUGAAGAAAUAUUUGUUUUCAGUUGUAUUUACUCUUAUUAAAUGAUGAUGCAAAACUA